rnacentral:rRNA from 1 species
UGGGGAAUCUUGCGCAAUGGGCGAAAGCCUGACGCAGCAACGCCGCGUGGAGGAUGAAGGCCCUUGGGUUGUAAACUCCUGUCGGCUGGGAAGAAGUUGUUCGCGACUAAUACUCGCGGACAUUGACUGUACCAGCAAAGGAAGCCCCGGCUAACUCUGUGCCAGCAGCCGCGGUAAUACGAAGGGGGCUAGCGUUGUUCGGAAUUACUGGGCGUAAAGGGUUUGUAGGCGGUCUUUUAAGCCAGUGGUGAAAGCCCGGGGCUUAACCCCGGAAUUGCCAUUGGUACUGGAAGGCUAGAGAGUGUUAGAGGAAAGUGGAAUUCCUAGUGUAGGAGUGAAAUCCGUAGAGAUUAGGAGGAAUAUCGAUGGCGAAGGCAGCUUUCUGGGACAUUUCUGACGCUGAGAAACGAAAGCGUGGGUAGCAAACAG